UGUGAAUUUAUUGCUGCAAUGCCACUGAGAGGAAAAUUUUGAUCUUGCGUACCACUUGAAAGUCUGCAUACCACCCAAAACCUCCUCCCGAGCACUUUUUCGCGGCGUUGUCUUCGUGUUCAUGCGGUUCGACGAUUAUCUCGACAGCGAUCCUGAGCUCCGGCUUUCCUCGACUCAAAAAACGUUCUUGCAACCUUCUCCGUCUCGGCCAAAGCGAUCAAGAACAAGUAACCCAGCGGAUGGAGGCCUGUAUGUACACAAUUUCACUAUUGUCAGUAGGUGGUUUCCAUACUCAUCUUUACUGUUAUAAAUAUUGUUGGAUCCCAAAAAAAUGGAUCCAACCGUUGGCGAUGCUCUCAUGUGCGUACAUUUUUUUUUUGCUAUUUCAAUGUCAAAACGUUAGAUUUGGACUUUGAAUCUCCACAGUCUGCUAGCUAAAGAAAAGAGCUAGACAUGCAGGUAUUCAUUAAGAACGAGAAUGGAAAGAUUUACACUGUCGAGGUGACCCAAACGGAGACUAUAGUAGACCUGUAGCGGAAAAUUUACGGAACUUCAGAAAUUCCGCAAGAUAUAAUAUUAUACCAUUAUUAUAUCGAGAGUAUUAUUAUUUCAAAAUGGUAUAAUAAUGGUAUAAUAAUGGUGUAUUAUAUCAAAAAAGAUAUAAUAUUAUACCAUUAAUGGUAUAAUCAAAAAAGAUAUAAUAUUAUAGGAUGUAAUAAUGGUAUAAUAAUGGUGUAUUAUAUCAAAAAACAAAUUGUUAAAACAAUUAAAAAAAUUAAAGAAUGAAAACUUAA